CACACACAAUUAUUGCCUUUCAGCUUUCAGCCCUGGGCUUCUUCCCAUCAGCAUAGCAUGAGCGCGUCACCGGUUUCCCAGGAAGGAACCAGACCCCGACAUGUUCUGAUUCUGAAGAAGCCGAGGGGACAAACACAAACCCAGAACGAAACAAACAGAAAACACACCUUUUUAUCUGAUUCUCUCGUUUCAGUCACGUGUCUGUGGUUUCUCUCAGCCUCAGCUCGUCUUUGAAGUUUCAGCUCAGCAGCUGUGACACACGAUUCUGCUUCCUGUUAACAGGGGGAACAGACGGAGUUUCUGGCGCCCGCCCCGCCGUGGUUUACUGUACGUGUGGUUUUGUGUGUAACCUCUCUGAGCUGUCUGUGGUCGGUGCUUCACUCUAAUUUGCCUGUGGCGAAAGGUCAAAAGGUGACGCGGGUUUGAGGACUUGGAGUGGAAGGGACUUCUACCUGCCGCCGCCCUGCAGCGCUCUGAACACUGCGCCCGUUUGAGAAGGAGGAGCAUCCAUCUGCUGAAGCACUGUUUCGUUUGUUGGUUCCGUCACAGCUCGAGUUUUGUCUUCGCUGCAGCAGAUUUAAGAAGAAAAAGCGUCAGAGCCGAAGUUUGUGUGAUGAAAUGUCCGAGGGAAUGAAGCAGGAACACUUCAUAUAAAGCUCUGCAGCACAUCUGGCAGCUGGAAACUUCCAUAACUUUACCUCUCACCCGAACCCUGGAACCACACAAUGCUAAAGCUACACACUGAGCUUUGACCAGUCACACCAGUCCAGUCAAUCCCAGUCCCCAGACCUAGAGCUGGACCCUCUGAAGUCCCUGUUUCCAGAGCAAAUACGUCCAAACUGUGUGAUUCAGCAGGAAGGAAGAAACAUCAGUUUAUAAACGGAGGAGUACCCUCGGCCCGUUCGGUAAACGUCCGGUUACAGGCUGAGGAUCACGCGAAGAGCAAACGAUGCCGCGCAGCAACAAGUUAAAGUUCUUCUUCAGGGGGAACAGAAAAUAAGAGGAGUCUGAAGGCUGCUGGACAAUAGCUGCUGUCUGACAGGAAACCCAGCAGCAGAACAAUCUGUCAUCCAGAUACAUACAAUGCACUCUGAGGUCAGCCAAACUGGAGCCUGUUGCCCAGCAAAAUGAAUCAGUAAUAUGUUUCCUGUCACACGUGGAAUGUGGAGUAGUGAAAGAGCAACGUUAGCAUUAAGAACAUCAGGAAGCACUUGAAGGAAAAGCUGUUGCUGCUGGUCCAAACAGACUCUUACUUUCAUCGUCUCCUGUCUGUGGCUCUCGGCUCUGAGCCGUCGCUUCCUCCUGAAGGUGCAAAUCUUUAGGAACACCUCACGAAGGUUUGAUUUUGUUUGUCAAAAGGCUCUUCCUCGAAAACAGCUGAACACUGUGGUUUUUAGUCAGAUACUCAGAAGGAAACAGUCCAUUUGUUAUGGGUCUAUUUUCAGCAGCGGAUGAAUAUAUGUUUAUAGUUGGUUAUAGAAGAAUGUUAAAGGUGCACAGUGAACAGAUGCUGGGAAAUCUGCCCAGUGGCCAAUGAUGAGGUAGAUUAAUGAAAACAGCCUGAUUUAUUUACAGGAAAAGGCCUUUGAUACAAACCUAAUAAAGCUGGUGAUGACGCAGGACGCCCUCCUCCCUCAGAGCUGCAGCUGGUGGACAGAAGAGACAUAACUAAGACUCUUUGGUUCUCUUUCAUGAUGUGAAACAGUCUUCAGUGCUUAGAAAACAGAGACGUCGUGUUAACAGAACAUUUCUCCUCAUCUCAGCACGAAGCAGCUGAUCUGAAACCAUCGCGUCAUUUAAACUGAACUUCCGAGCGACUGACACGUUCGUGGUUCACGGUGGAAGUUAGUCUACGAAUUAGUUUGUCAGUUAACUGAUAAAUAAAUAAAUAAAUAGAGGAAAUGACCAUCUGAAAUCCUGGAAACCUGCUAUGAGAUUUCAUUUAAACUUUCUCUCAACUCACGUUACUCACACAACAAGAGGAAGACACACACACACAAACACACACACACACACACACACACACACACACACACAGUGCCCCCUGCUCCUGGGAAAGGACCCGGCCGAUCUUUAUCAGCCUUCAACAACAGCAACACCUUCUUCCUCUUCCUCUUUUCUCACAGGGCCUCGGCCGUCGUGCUCACAGCUCAC